UACGUAGGGUGCGAGGGUUGUCCGGAAUUAUUGGGCGUAAAGAGCUCGUAGGCGGUUUGUCACGUCUGCUGUGAAAUCCCGAGGCUCAACCUCGGGCCUGCAGUGGGUACGGGCAGACUGGAGUGCGGUAGGGGAGAAUGGAAUUCCUGGUGUAGCGGUGGAAUGCGCAGAUAUCAGGAGGAACACCGAUGGCGAAGGCAGUUCUCUGGGCCGUAACUGACGCUGAGGAGCGAAAGCGUGGGGAGCGAACAGG
rnacentral:rRNA from 1 species